CCCCUAGUAACGGCGAGUGAAGCGGGAAGAGCCCAGCGUCGAACCUCUCGGGUCUUGAACCUUGAGCGGAAUGUGACGUGCGGGUGGUAUCUUUCCGUGCUCGUGGGCGACCCCACGUCCUACUGAUUCAGGCCUCUCCCGUGGAGGGUGUCAGGCCCGUACUGGGUCGUCUCGAGUAUCGGAUUGUGCCAUCUCAGAGUCGGGUUGUUUGAGAAUGCAGCCCAAAGUGGGUGGUAAACUCCAUCUAAGGCUAAAUAUUCGGACGAGACCGAUAGCGAACAAGUACCGUGAGGGAAAGUUGAAAAGCACUCUGAAGAGAGAGUUCAAUAGUACGUGAAACCGUUGUGAGGUAAACGGUGAAGGCACUCCCGAUGUCCGGUGCGGUUCAGUUUUGCCUCGUGCCAGGGUGCGGCGUGCGGACUCUUCGGAGCCUCUAACUGUACCCGUGGUGUGGGGCGAAGCGCAUUCUGCGCGGGAUAGGGUCACGACCGAUUUCUCAGGGGCGUUGUAUCCGGUGCUGGUGGGCGGCUUUCACUUCGGUGGAAGCGGUUUCAGGCGGCUGGACGGCGGCCUUCUGGGCGAUCGUGGAAGAUUGGUGGCGCCUGCCCUGUGGGGCGGCUGGUGCGGAGUAAGUGCGGUGGCCCCGGCUCGGAACUGUUUUCAGUGCCAGGCCGGUCGGUUUGCUGUGCCCUCUGCGCUGUGUCUCGGGCGUUCCCGGUCGGUGGCUGGACGAGUGCCCUUUACCGACCCGUCUUGAAACACGGACCAAGGAGUCUAACAUGUAUGCAAGUCUUGAGGGAUGUGUAAACCCGCAGGCGCAAUGAAGGUGAAGCGCAAGGUGGCUUGCGUGAGGUGGGAAGCUGGCUUUCGAGUCAGCCGCACCGCCGUCCCGUCCGAGCCGUCACGUCGGCUGGGCGGAGAUUGAGCAUACACGUUGGGACCCGAAAGAUGGUGAACUAUGCCUGAACAGGAUGAAGCCAGGGGAAACCCUGGUGGAGGUCCGUAGCGAUUCUGACGUGCAAAUCGAUCGUCUGAUUUGGGUAUAGGGGCGA
rnacentral:rRNA from 1 species